rnacentral:lncRNA from 1 species
AUGGCUGCAAUGGAUGUCGGUGCAGACGUUGAAUCCGUUGAACCUUGCAACGAAGACCUCGCAAGGGAAGUGGGUUUACAGUUUAGCGACCUAAGCCAAGUGAAGCGCAAUAUGCUCCUUCGAGCUCGCGCGGCAGGUGUUCCUGUGUACGACAGCGGGUCGUUGGCCGCGUCGUCGGAGAGCGAAGCCUCAUUAUCGCCGACACACAGUUUCAUUUCGUGUUUCAUCACACAGUGCACUUUCGAUCGCAUUCAAGCACUGACAGGGAUCGAACUUAUCGACCACAGCCAGCCACAUUCUGCAGUUUGCACAAAUAAGUUAGUUGCGAUUCAAAAAGUAGAUCCCGACUGGACUCGAUAGCUGUCAAAAGUGCGCCGUGGGACCUAGUACUGUAGGUGAAACGACAUCGCAACGAAUUCGGAUAUAACUUAUUUUUAUUAUGAUUGACGUCAUAAGGAAGCUAUGCCUCAAGGAAUAAAAUUUUUAUCAAAGAAUUCGAUUUCGAUCGGACUCCACCUAGACCAAAAUACCUUGUUACCUUGUCAUGCGCAGCUCCCAACAAACAAUACCUUACGCAAAGAGGAGCCUCCUGCAGCUAUGUGGACUGCGGACAUUGCGGGGUACUCAACUUCAGCGAGGAGGAGUGCCUCUGCUGUCGAGAGAUGGAACAGCCUGUCACCGCUGCGCAGCUUGAAAAAUGCAUCACGGAGCACCCAGAGUUCCACCUCUUGUGUCUCAACAUCGCUGUGCUCUGUAUUCUGUACUGCGGUGCGCAGGGACUGCAUGGAUGAAGACAUCUACAAGUAAAUUAUUUUUACUUGAUGA